rnacentral:lncRNA from 1 species
CAGGUCCGGCGUAUAGCACAGACAGGAUAUUCCGACAGAAUCGUAAAUGCGGAAUAAUAAAUUUGGAACCAGGUCAGGUGAAAUUCACACCGACAGGAUAUUCCGACAUAAUAUUAAAUGCGAAAAUAAUAAAAAGAUUUCACCAAGUACAGGGUAUGCCACUUAUACAGGUUAUGUAUAGGGUAUGCCGCGUAUACAGGUUAUUCCAACAAUUUAAUAAGCGAUAAAAAG